GGUUUUUCACGAAUCGUAUAUUUUUACUUAUUCGAGGGAACUUACAUUUAGCUUAUCGCCAAUUCGCCGCUCAAAGAAGAUGCUCGACAAGGUUAUCAUAUAUACAUAUUUGCAGGCGGUGUAUUUAAGAUGCUCGUCAAGUAUAUUAUAAUUCAGUCUGCGCAAUAUAUGUGACGCUUUAAGUUCUUCUCAAGCUAAACUUCGUACACAUCAUUUAAAUGAAAUACUUCGAGUUCAAGUGGCUUUUGUUUAUUGCCUUGUUACUAUGUUGUGCCGAUGUUUUGGCAGCACCAAAACGCAAACCGAAGCCUGUUAGGCCGAAGCCAAAAAUAAAAUUGCCAAAAAUUACGAUAACCGUAAAGAAAGAAACCAAAAUCCAGAUUGGAUGAACUCAAGUUUAUUAUGUAAAUUAGUUUUAACAACUACAGAAAUUAGUUUUGUAUUUACUGGAACAUAUGUAUGCAUAUAUAUUAAAUAUUAUAUUUUUAUA